UUUGGCAUUUAAACAUAAAUUGUCUUCUGAAAGCUCUUUAUAUGUGCUGACUUUACUGCUGUUUUACUCUUUUCACAGUUUGAUUUCGGAUCAGGAAGUAUUUGAGGCAGUCUUAAAGAUGUCUGCAUCCUAGUGGUAUUUGGCACUGAUACGGCCACUUCAUCAGCUCCACAGGCUCAGGGUGUAUUACAUCACCAGGCAAGACAGUUUCUGGAGGCAGCUGCCUUUCUCCCUAGUGUGUAUGGCCAGUAGGGAUUUACCUGCCCUCGGCAUUGGAAAAAAUGUGCCAAAAACUCCAGUAGCCCCUGAUGGCCCAUCCUGACCUCCAUUCCUGUACUCAUUCCCUGUCAGUGCAUCCACAUUCAGUGAUAUAUAAGCCUGGAUUCACCUGAACAAUUGCACUGGAGUCCCUCAGCAAGAAGGUAAGGCUAUUGGAUGUUACCCCUCUUCUUUAAAAACAAUAAUAAUGUUGUCUGGGAUACAUCUAAUGACUUACCCAAGAUCCCACAGCUAAUAAAUAGUGAGG
ensembl:lncRNA